rnacentral:rRNA from 1 species
UAGCUCAGUACACGUGGACACGUACCCUAAGUGGAGCAUAAUCUCGGGAACUGAGGAUAUUCUCCAUAGACCAUGAGAUCUGGAAUGACUUAUGGUUCAAGUUCCGGCGCUUUAGGAUCGGUCUGCGGCCUAUCAGGUAGUAGUGGGUGUAACGUACCCCCUAGCCAUUACGGGUAUGGGCCUUGAGAGAGGGAGCCCAGAGUUGGAUUCUGAGACACGAAUCCGGCCCUACGGGGCGCAGCAGUCGCGAAAACUUCACAAUGGGCGAAAGCCCGAUGAGGGAUUCCUAGUGCUAGCACAUUUGUGUUAGCUUUUCCUUAGCGUAGAUAACUAGGGGAAAAGGCUGGGUAAGACGGGUGCAGCCGCCGCGGUAAUACCCGCAGCCCGAGUGUGUCGAUUUAUUGAGUCUAAACGUUCGUAGCCGGUCUGAUAAUCCCUGGGUAAUCGGUGCUUACCAUCC